ensembl:sense_intronic Gm16132 predicted gene 16132
GGAAGACCUUUAGAGCCUCAGGUUAGGCUCACUGUGUGUGGUCCUGGAGUGUCCUGCCUGAGAUCCUGGGAAAGUUAGCUCUCACAGAUACUCUGAGAACAUUUCUCCAGCUGCCAGGGUCUAGUUAGCUUGACCGUGUCCUCCUGAAGAUCCAGGCCUCUGUACAGUUAGAGUCCCACUUAUGGGAAAGACCCUGGCCAUAGGAAGGCAUGGGUAGGGAAGAGGUAGGAUUCUCUUGAAAUUGAAGUGCUGAAUAUUUUAUGUGAAUUUAGACUCCUCUUCUUGAAAUUACUUAAAUGUUCCUCUCCAGGGUCUAUAAAAAACACAUUAGCUUGUGCUAACUCUAUUUUGUAAUCAACAGUGGUGCCGCCCUGUCUCUGGUGUGACAAUAAGAACAACACAGGUCUCAGGCCCACAGAGAGGGGGUAUUGCUGUAUAGAAGAUUCUAGCAAGGGCUUCCUGCUAGGGAAAAGGCUCCAUAAAAAUCUUGUCACUGUUAGGACUCACUGUUAGGGAUGCCAUAAGGCAGUCUUAAACCAAGGCAGGAUGGGGCUCAGCUCUUGGGAAGAAUACAUAAAAUGAUCAGGAGCUCUUAG